GUACAGCUGCAUCAGCUGUUCGUAGGACAUGUCCAGCAGCUGGUCCAGGUCCACGCCGCGGAAUACAAAAGCCAUCAGGAAAAGGCCAAAUGAGUGUGCUCUCCUGUCACUGAAGGCUUCUGAAAGGAUAUGGGCCAGUGCAUCAGAUUUUGUUGCUGAGCAGGUUGGAGAAGAGCAUCAAAGGUGAGAGCAAAGGUAAGAACCAGCAUAGAUGUGGGAAUGAGUGGGUGGGUGCACCGGCCAAGAAGGGGCCUGACUGAAGGACCAGGGAACAACCAAUAGGUUAUGGAAGGCUGGAGUCAGAUUGCAGAGACUAGAGACUCCUAAUAUCAGGCUGAGAAAUCAAAUAGCUGUUCAUCAUUUGUGCCUGAGGAUGGAUCAGAGCAACGUGAUGAAAGUGGCACUUGUGUAAGACUUGCCCAGCAAAGUAGGGCAAGGAUGGAUGCAAGGGAAAGAAUCUGGAGCCUCAGGCCAAGAAGAAUCAGGAUCUGUUAUACAAGGACCCAGGUAUGGGGGCUUGAAAGCAACUUGGGGGCUAGGACUGUGUCUGGACCACCAUGUGGCCCCAUAUUGGUGGUAGGGACUGAGUGUUGAAUACGUGAAUGUUGUGAAUUAAUUAAGAAGAAAAGAGUUGAGAGUUGUUUUUAAUCAAGGAACAGUAGGCUCUAAUGAUAGAGAGACCUCCUCACCUCUUUCCCACAAACCCCCAUCCUGCACCCUAUGUUCCAGGGAUAGUAAGCUGUUCACUGUUGUCAAGAGACUGGUUCUGCCCUAUCUCUGGACAUUCGUAUUACUGCUUGCUUUGCCUGGAAGGGAAGGGAAGACAUUUCUGACUGAAUCAAAAAGUGAUUUAGAGGAGUAAAUAUAAAGAAGUUUUAGGAAUACCUUAAUCAAUUUCUGCUUUUAUUUUCAUUUUAAUGUAUUUAAAAGUAUAAUACAAUGAAAAUAAUCCAUGCCUAAAUAUGUCUAAAUAGGUUUUAAUGUUUAAGAUAAAAAUCUUAGGUAGGGCUGGGCUCACAUCUGUAAUCCCAGCAUUUCGGGAAGCUGAGGCAGGUGGAUCACUCGAGGUCAGGAAUUCGAGACCAGUCUGGCCAACAUGGAGAAACCCCACCUCUACUAAAAAUACAAAAAUUAGCUGGGUGUGGUAGUGGGCACCUGUAAUCCCAGCUACCUGGGAGGCUGAGGCAUGAGAAUAGCUUGAAUCCGGGAGGCGGAGGUUGCAGUGAGCUGAGAUCAUGCCACUGCACUCCAGCCUGGGCAACAAAGCAAGACUCUGUCUCAAAAACAAAAAGAAAAAUCCUCGGUAAUAAAAAGCAUUGUGUUAUACUCAAUUUGGCAAUGUUUUUUCUUUUCUUAGUCGUAUAUAAAAUAAUGGUGCAGGCAUGGGCCACUGGCCUCUUAUUUGUCUUUAUCCCCAAGGCCAACCAUGGAGGCUGGCACUGCACAGAUGCAUAAUGUCUGUGAAAUGGAUUGGCUAUGUAAAUACAGAGCAGGGAGCAUAAAAGAGAACUGGAAGGCUUCUAACGGGAAGACAAAGGACUUGUGGAACUGAUGAAAAAGAACAGCUUAAGAAGAGCAGCGCUUCUAGAGAGAAAAUAUCGAGUCCAGUUCUGAACGUCUUGGAAUGAUGGAAAGAUAAACAAGUGAAGAUAUCCAAUAGGGAUGUGGAACAAGAAAACUGUCACAAAGGUUCUUUUAAGGACCAAAACAUAGUCUUGCAAGUCUUUGUGACAGAAGUGCUAACUGAAACUAUCAGAGUGAAUUGACUCACCAACUAAAACAAUGCAGAGAGAGAGAGAGGAGAGCAAGAGAGAGAGAGAAAUGAAGGGACAGCAUCUUGGCGUAUACCUAUAGUUAAGGGGGUUGAGGAAGGCAAGGAGACAGCACAGAGAUCUAGAAGAAAUUCAGAAGAUCGCUGUAGCAACACUGAAGUCAAGGGAAUCGUUCUCCGGUCUGUGCCCGUGAGUAGGUGUCUGUGAUAACUGCUUUGUAACAGUACAGAUUAUAAAUAAAAGU
rnacentral:lncRNA from 1 species